rnacentral:rRNA from 1 species
GAGGUUCGAAGGCGAUCAGAUACCGCCCUAGUUCUAACCAUAAACGAUGCCAGCCAGCGAUCCGGCUGUGUUCCUCAAAUGACACGCCGGGCAGCUUCCGGGAAACCAAAGCUUUUGGGUUCCGGGGGAAGUAUGGUUGCAAAGCUUAAACUUAAAGGAAUUGACGGAAGGGCACCACAAGCCAUGGAGCAUGCGGUUCAAUUUGACUCAACACGGGAAAACUUACCUGGCCCGGACACAGGAAGGAUUGACAGAUUAAGAGCUCUUUCUUGAUUCUGUGAGUGGUGGUGCAUGGCCGUUCUUAGUUGGUGGAGUGAUUUGUCUGCUUAAUUGCGUUAACGAACGAGACUCUAGCCUACUAAAUAGACGUUCCGAUCCUCUUAGUCGGACGCUCUUCUUAGGGGGACAGGCGGCGACUAGCCGCACGAGACAGAGCAAUAACAGGUCUGUGAUGCCCUCAGAUGUCCGGGGCCACACGCGCGCUACAUUGAAGGAAUCAGCGUGUGCUUUCCCUGUCCGACAGGACUGGGUAACCCGUUGAACCUCCUUCGUGCUGGGGAUAGGGAUUUGCAAUUGUCUCCCUUGAACGAGGAAUGCCUAGUAAGCACGAGUCAUAAAUUCGUGUUGAUUAGGUCCCUGCCCUUUGUACACACCGCCCGUCGCUAUAAGCGAUUGAAUGGUUUAGUGAGGUCUUCGGACUGGCGCUCGAAUUGGCCUUCCGGUCGAGUCGACGUGCCGGAAAGAUGACCAAACUUGAUCAUUUAGAGCAUAUAA